AUACAGGGUGACAGCCCCGUACACAAAAAUGCACAUAUUGUGAGCUUGAUGAGUAGGGCGGGACACGUGGUAUCCUGUCUGAAUAUGGGGGGACCAUCCUCCAAGGCUAAAUACUCCUGACUGACCGAUAGUGAACCAGUACCGUGAGGGAAAGGCGAAAAGAACCCCGGCGAGGGGAGUGAAAAAGAACCUGAAACCGUGUACGUACAAGCAGUGGGAGCACGCUUAGGCGUGUGACUGCGUACCUUUUGUAUAAUGGGUCAGCGACUUAUAUUCUGUAGCAAGGUUAACCGAAUAGGGGAGCCGAAGGGAAACCGAGUCUUAACUGGGCGUUAAGUUGCAGGGUAUAGACCCGAAACCCGGUGAUCUAGCCAUGGGCAGGUUGAAGGUUGGGUAACACUAACUGGAGGACCGAACCGACUAAUGUUGAAAAAUUAGCGGAUGACUUGUGGCUGGGGGUGAAAGGCCAAUCAAACCGGGAGAUAGCUGGUUCUCCCCGAAAGCUAUUUAGGUAGCGCCUCGUGAAUUCAUCUCCGGGGGUAGAGCACUGUUUCGGCA
rnacentral:rRNA from 1 species